GACGAACGCUGGCGGCGUGCUUAACACAUGCAAGUCGAACGCUGAAGCACCAGCUUGCUGGUGUGGAUGAGUGGCGAACGGGUGAGUAAUACGUGAGUAACCUGCCCUUGACUCUGGGAUAAGCCCGGGAAACUGGGUCUAAUACUGGAUGCUACAUGUCACCGCAUGGUGGUGUGUGGAAAGGGUUUACUGGUCUUGGAUGGGCUCACGGCCUAUCAGCUUGUUGGUGAGGUAAUGGCUCACCAAGGCGACGACGGGUAGCCGGCCUGAGAGGGUGACCGGCCACACUGGGACUGAGACACGGCCCAGACUCCUACGGGAGGCAGCAGUGGGGAAUAUUGCACAAUGGGCGAAAGCCUGAUGCAGCGACGCCGCGUGAGGGAUGACGGCCUUCGGGUUGUAAACCUCUUUCAGCAGGGAAGAAGCCACAAGUGACGGUACCUGCAGAAGAAGCGCCGGCCAACUACGUG
rnacentral:rRNA from 1 species